rnacentral:lncRNA from 1 species
UUCCUUCAGAAGAUGAGGAUCCUAGUAUUCAAGUAAAUUGUUGGAAUAAAGAUUAAUUAAGAUAAUAUAUAUAUAUAUAUAUAUAUAUAUAUAUAUAUAUAUAUAUAUAUAUAUCUGGUAAUGUGUUUCUUUUGUACCUUCAGAUCUACUUCUUAUACUUCUCAACUCUUCUCUCUGAUCUGGGUGUCCUACCUUUAUGGACUAUAACCAAUAUAUUACUUCAGAGAAGAUAUAGUAUAUCUAUCUUCACAUGCAGUAUUGAAUAAUUUAUCAUUACAUCGUACUCUGGAAAUGGAAAAA